CGCUCCCACGUUUCAAGAUUCAAUUUGUAAUUCCCAUUGGAAUCAUUUCGGGGCUGGAAAAUUGCAGCAAGAGGAUUCGUGAACCAACUGGAUUCAUCAUCGAGAAAAAGAUGGUAGAUCGAUAUUGGAUUGGUUUCUUUCUGGUGCUUUCAUGUCUCACUCAAGUUUUAGAUGCCAGCGCUGGUGAUGCUGAUCCAGCCUACAGGGCUUGUGUUGCACAAUGUGAACAAACAGGAUGUGUGGGGCAAAGAUGUUUUCCACACUGCAAAUUUUCAUCCGAUGGUUUCCCAAUUGAUGGUCCAUGGUACAUGCAAGAACCACUUUACUUGCGGUGGAAACAAUGGGAUUGCCAAAGUGAUUGUCGUUACCAUUGCAUGCUUGAUAGAGAAAAGGAAAGAGAAGCAUUUGGCCAUGGUCCUGUCAAGUACCAUGGUAAAUGGCCCUUUAGGCGUGUAUAUGGAAUUCAGGAGCCAGCUUCUGUAGCUUUCUCUGCACUCAACCUUGCAGUGCAUUUCCAUGGUUGGCUAUCCUUUUUUGUGCUUCUGUACUAUAAAUUACCUUUAAAACAAGAUAAGAAGGCAUACUAUGAAUAUGGCACUCUGUGGCAUAUCUAUGGAUGCAUAUCAAUGAACUCCUGGUUCUGGAGUGCUGUUUUCCAUAGCCGAGAUGUGGACUUGACAGAGAAGUUGGACUACUCUUCUGCAGUGGCAUUAGUGGGUUACUCACUUAUUCUGGCUAUACUAAGAAGUUUCAGUGUGAAGGAUGAAGCAGCAAGGGUCAUGGUUGCUGCUCCACUGCUUGCAUUUGUGACAACUCAUAUAUUGUUUAUCAACUUUUAUAAGCUAGACUACGGUUGGAACAUGAAAGUUUGUGUCAUAAUGGCAGUGGCUCAGCUUCUCAUUUGGGCAAGUUGGGCUGGUAUCAGCAGCCAUCCUUCUCGCUGGAAGUUGUGGGUUGUGGUCGUGGGAGGUGGCCUUGCAAUGCUCCUAGAAAUCUACGAUUUCCCUCCAUACAAGGGAU
rnacentral:misc_RNA from 1 species